CACGUAGGGCGCAAGCGUUGUCCGGAAUUAUUGGGCGUAAAGAGCUCGUAGGCGGUCUGUUGCGUCCGCUGUGAAAACUCGGGGCUUAACCCCGAGCCUGCAGUGGAUACGGGCAGACUAGAGGUAGGUAGGGGAGAAUGGAAUUCCCGGUGUAGCGGUGAAAUGCGCAGAUAUCGGGAGGAACACCGGUGGCGAAGGCGGUUCUCUGGGCCUUACCUGACGCUGAGGAGCGAAGGCGUGGGGAGCGAACCGG
rnacentral:rRNA from 1 species